rnacentral:snRNA from 1 species
GUGCUCGCUUUGGCUGCACACGUACUAAAACGGAGAUUAGCAAGGCCCUGAGUGAGGAUGGCAUGCAAAUUUGUGCAGCGUUUCAUUUUUUU